GUGCUCGAAAGAGAGCCGUAACACAGGUGCUGCAUGGCUGUCGUCAGCUCGUGUCGUGAGAUGUUGGGUUAAGUCCCGCAACGAGCGCAACCCUUGUCAUUAGUUGCUACGAAAGGGCACUCUAAUGAGACUGCCGGUGACAAACCGGAGGAAGGUGGGGAUGACGUCAAGUCCUCAUGGCCCUUAUGGGUAGGGCUUCACACGUCAUACAAUGGUACAUACAGAGGGCCGCCAACCCGCGAGGGGGAGCUAAUCCCAGAAA
rnacentral:rRNA from 1 species